rnacentral:rRNA from 1 species
CCUACGGGAGGCAGCAGUGGGGAAUAUUGGGCAAUGGAGGAAACUCUGACCCAGCGACGCCGCGUGCGGGAUGAAGGCCUUCGGGUUGUAAACCGCUUUCAGUAGGGAAGAAGCGAAAGUGACGGUACCUACAAAAGAAGCACCGGCUAACUAUGUGCCAGCAGCCGCG